rnacentral:rRNA from 1 species
GACGAACGCUGGCGGCGUGCUUAACACAUGCAAGUCGUGCGGUAAGGCCCUUUCGGGGGUACACGAGCGGCGAACGGGUGAGUAACACGUGAGCAACCUGCCCUUCACUUUGGGAUAACUGCCGGAAACGGUGGCUAAUACCGGAUAUGACUUCCUCACGCAUGUGGGGUGGUGGAAAGCCUUCGGGUGGUGGGGGAUGGGCUCGCGGUCUAUCCGCUUGUUGGUGGGGUGAUGGCCUACGAAGGCUUCGACGGGUAGCCGGCCUGAGAGGGUGACCGGCCACACUGGGACUGAGACACGGCCCAGACUCCUACGGGAGGCAGCAGUGGGGAAUAUUAGACAAUGGGCGAAAGCCUGAUCCAGCAACGCCGCGUGAGGGAUGACGGCCUUCGGGUUGUAAACCUCUUUCGCCUGCGACGAAGCGAGAGUGACGGUAGCAGGUAAAGAAGCACCGGCCAACUACGUG